UUCAGCAAUAUUUAAACCGCCUUCCACUCAACUGCACUAUGGUAAUUUUAUGUUUUAUCAUAUUCAGUUCUACUGAGGAAUUUUUAGUGUGUACAUUCAUUCUAAAAUAAUUUAUAUGACAUUAUUAAAAUUAAGCAUAGGUAAACUUUGGUUCAGAUACAAUGACGAUUAAAUACUAUUACAGUUUCAAAUUUGUUCUCUAUUAACCUCCUUUAAUCUUGUAACAGAAAAACUAGAAUUUAUAUACAAGUUGACAUUUGAACUUUAAAACACAGAAGAGUAGUGCAUAUUUCAAGAGAUAUAUUCUCUGCUUUAUUAUCAAAUGAUCUAAAAUCGCUACUACCUUUAAAAAGCCCAUGAAUUAAAUUUUACCCAAAAUUUGUCAAACACAGAAAUACACUCUCAUCUACAUUUCUUGUUUAGUUUCUAUUUGAUUUAGGGCUUCCAUUAAACAUUUAUUACUAGGAAAAGAAGAAAACCUGCCAGUCUGGGAAAAAUCAAAAAGUAUUAUAGGGCAAAUGGAUGUUCCCUUAUACAUAUGCCAUGGAAUAAAAUCACUUAAAUCCUUUUUUCUACUUAAUUAUAAUACUCUAAAAGGUUCCCAAGUUUCCUAAUUAAAACUGUCAAAAAAAAACCAAAACACUUCUGUCAUUUGAUGUAGCUGUUGAGUGCAUACCAAGUUCAUUGUGAAAAAGUUCACAUCUAGCAGUUUAGUUCUAUAGUUGUUGGUUAAGAGAAUGUGGGUAUAGCAGUUUCCACUGAGUUAAUACAGUUGGAUCUUAAAUUUCUAAUGUUAAAAGUCAAUGUUUUACAGAUAAUCAGGGGCAACAAGGAAAUUACAUAUACUUAUAUUCUAAUAUAAGGAUUUGAUUUGAAUAGAUACAAAAAUAAUCAAGAUGUCCACAGUAUAAAAUGAAGUAUGAGCUAUAAAAAGCUCUGAUCUUGAAAUUUAAGAGAUGUGGGUUCUAAUUCCAUCUUUUGCAUUACUUGCAAUGUUGAACACAUCACUUCACCUUUUUAUACCCUUGUUUAUUAGUGAAGAAACUUUGUUUAUUAUGAAUAGGUAAAAAUAUGAGCUCGCACAGCCCCUUCCAAUAUUAAAUGGUAUUUAUUCUGUCACUGUUUCCUAAGGGUUCCGCAAUUAAUCAUCAAUAAAUCAUGAGAUUUGUGCUGAAUUUGAAUGAUACGGUUAUUUUAGCAUGAACUCUCAUUCACCAGCUCACACAUUAGAAUAACAGCAUCACAAAAGGAGGAAGAGAGUAUUAAAUAGAAUUAUGAAGCUUAGAGUUUCAAUUCUCUUAUCAAUGCUGUAACUUUUGAAAUUCUUAUCAUUGAAAAUACAAAAUUAGAAAAGAAAUAGUGGUCACUAACAAGUUGUUUUAAUAAUUUUUGCUAUAUGGGAGAUAAUAUUAAGCCAGUCUAUAUCUUUUAGAAAAGAAUAUGAAGAAGAAGGUUUUAAAAUAACAAAAUAAGGCAAAAUACAAUACCUAACAGAUUAAACAUGAGACUUUUCACAAUGUUUUCAGAUAUAUUUGGGGUCAAUCUGUUCCAGUGCCCAGGAAUUCCUAUCAUAUUUAAUGAUCAUGAAACUGCCAAUUAAAUAAAAACGUAUUUUUAGAAAACAAUAAUUCUUUUAAAAAUUCUUGUUGUCACUCACCUGUAACUUCCAAUAAUAUUACUUUUAAUCAUCAGGGAUUUUGUCUAGUUUAAUACAUUUAAAGGCUGAAGAACAAUAGUAUCUCAACAAAUAUUGCAUAAUUGAAAGUAAGUUCUUGCAUGUAACUGAAAUGGGAGAACCUAGGUGAAUUAAAACAGUUGUUCUAAAUUCUUGAAUAUUGCCUUUAUAUUUCGUUUAAUUUCAGAAAAAAUCCUUAAUACUUCUAAGUAUAACAUUAAUUAUUUAAGAAAAUAAAGAUAAAACUUUAUAUACUUAAACGUAAAUUUCUCACAAAAUCAACAUCCCAUUUCUCUACUAUUUAUAUGAUAAAUACAAACUCCUGCAACUAAUGAAAUAUUUGUAAAACUACAUUAAUAGACCUGGUUGCAACUCCAGAUACUUUAUUACUAUCAUUAUAAUAUCUCUCGAUGAGAACAUCUCAGUAUUUUUAGCCUCAUGAUGAAUGCUUCUGCCAAUAUUAUAACUCACAAAAGGAAGAGAAUUUCAAUCAAUUUUUUAUCACCUAUAUAAUCAGCAACAUUUCUCUUCCUAAACAUAUGCUACAUUUACUACUGGAUAGUAAUGGAAGAUGAGAUGUUCUCCUUUCUAAGUUGUUAGCAGCUAUAAGAAUGGUAUGAAGAACAUCUCUACUCCCUUCAUAAAAUGUUUAAAUAUAUAAUUAUACUUUUCCAGUCAAUGGUUAUGAAAGAGAAUUUUUGAUCAUUCAGAUAAAUGAAAUAUUCCUUGCCUAAAAUGCAAUUGCUUAUUUGGAUACUGUUCAGUUUAGUCACUUUACCUUUAAUUGGCUCCAUAUUUUCUAGUAAAGAUACUAACUAUUACAAUAUUUUUCAUAGCAAACUCAUAAAAUGUAUUGGCUUCUUGCUUUUUAUCUAGAUCUCCGCUCUAUGCAAAUUGAGUGUGAGAAAUAUUUGGAAACAUGACUGGCGUAAGAGGAAAUAGAAUUACUCUGUGGCCUUUCUGGAAAGUUCCCAGUUCCCUGCACUGGAGAAAAGAGAAACUACCAUACUUUGAACAGCUUUGUAACACUUAUGAGCUUAUGUUUGAAGAGGGUAUAAUGUCAAAAAUAUAAUAUGCACUACUCUGGGAUAUAAAACUAAAGACCUGUGUUUUAAUGUAUGGGGAUUAAUAGACAUAAAAUUAUCUACAAUUAGCUGAUGCAAAUAUUUAUAAUAGGUAAAACAUAACUGAAGUUAUACAGUGUUGUGUCAAGUUCUUGGGAUUCAAUUCAAUACUUCAAAAUAAUUUUGAUGAAAGAAAUCCAUUGUAAAACCAAUUUUCUAAAAAAGCAAAUAUAUGUUUCCCUUUAAAAAUUGCUUUUAUAGCCACUGUAUUAAAACAUUAUAUUUUGUGUCAUUCAAUUUAAAUAAAAUAAUUAACUAAAAA